AUACGUAGGGUGCAAGCGUUAAUCGGAAUUACUGGGCGUAAAGCGUGCGCAGGCGGUUCGGAAAGAAGGAUGUGAAAUCCCAGGGCUCAACCUUGGAACUGCAUUCUUAACUACCGAACUAGAGUAUGUCAGAGGGGGGUAGAAUUCCGCGUGUAGCAGUGAAAUGCGUAGAUAUGCGGAGGAAUACCGAUGGCGAAGGCAGCCCCCUGGGAUAAUACUGACGCUCAUGCACGAAAGCGUGGGUAGCAAACAGGAUUAGAUACCCUGGUAGUCCACGCCCUGAACGAUGUCAACUAGCUGUUGGGCCCUUCGGGGCUUAGUAGCGUAGCUAACGCGUGAAGUUGACCGCCUGGGGAGUACGGUCGCAAGAUUAAAACUCAAAUGAAUUGACGGGG
rnacentral:rRNA from 1 species